rnacentral:rRNA from 1 species
AACGAACGCUGGCGGCAUGCCUAACACAUGCAAGUCGAACGAGAUCUUCGGGUCUAGUGGCGCACGGGUGCGUAACGCGUGGGAAUCUGCCCUUUGGUUCGGAAUAACAGUUGGAAACGACUGCUAAUACCGGAUGAUGACGAAAGUCCUAAGAUUUAUCGCACGAGGAUGAGCCCGCGUAUGAUUAGCUAGUCGGUGUGGUAAAGGCGUACCAAGGCGACGAUCCUUAGCUGGUCUGAGAGGAUGAGCGGCCACACUGGGACUGAGACACGGCCCAGACUCCUACGGGAGGCAGCAGUGGGGAAUAUUGGACAAUGGGCGAAAGCCUGAUCCAGCAAUGCCGCGUGAGUGAUGAAGGCCUUAGGGUUGUAAAGCUCUUUUACCCGGGAUGAUAAUGACAGUACCGGGAGAAUAAGCUCCGGCUAACUCCGUGCCAGCAGCCGCCGUAAAAC